GAUGAACGCUGGCGGCGUGCCUAACACAUGCAAGACGAACGAAGCACCUUACUUGAUUCUUCGGAUGAAGGUCUGGUGACUGAGUGGCGGACGGGUGAGUAACGCGUGGGUAACCUGCCCUGUACAGGGGGAUAACAGUUGGAAACGGCUGCUAAUACCGCAUAAGCGCACGAGAGGACAUCCUCUUGUGUGAAAAACUCCGGUGGUACAGGAUGGGCCCGCGUCUGAUUAGCUGGUUGGCAGGGUAACGGCCUACCAAGGCGACGAUCAGUAGCUGGUCUGAGAGGAUGAACGGCCACAUUGGAACUGAGACACGGUCCAAACUCCUACGGGAGGCAGCAGUGGGGAAUAUUGCACAAUGGGGGAAACCCUGAUGCAGCAACGCCGCGUGAGUGAAGAAGUAUUUCGGUAUGUAAAGCUCUAUCAGCAGGGAAGAUAAUGACGGUACCUGACUAAGAAGCUCCGGCUAAAUACGUGCCAGCAGCCGCGGUAAUACGUAUGGAGCAAGCGUUAUCCGGAUUUACUGGGUGUAAAGGGUGCGUAGGUGGCAGUGCAAGUCAGAUGUGAAAGGCCGGGGCUCAACCCCGGAGCUGCAUUUGAAACUGCAUAGCUAGAGUACAGGAGAGGCAGGCGGAAUUCCUAGUGUAGCGGUGAAAUGCGUAGAUAUUAGGAGGAACACCAGUGGCGAAGGCGGCCUGCUGGACUGUUACUGACACUGAGGCACGAAAGCGUGGGGAGCAAACAGGAUUAGAUACCCUGGUAGUCCACGCCGUAAAC
rnacentral:rRNA from 1 species